GACGAACGCUGGCGGCGUGCCUAAUACAUGCAAGUCGAACGAACUCUGGUAUUGAUUGGUGCUUGCAUCAUGAUUUACAUUUGAGUGAGUGGCGAACUGGUGAGUAACACGUGGGAAACCUGCCCAGAAGCGGGGGAUAACACCUGGAAACAGAUGCUAAUACCGCAUAACAACUUGGACCGCAUGGUCCGAGUUUGAAAGAUGGCUUCGGCUAUCACUUUUGGAUGGUCCCGCGGCGUAUUAGCUAGAUGGUGGGGUAACGGCUCACCAUGGCAAUGAUACGUAGCCGACCUGAGAGGGUAAUCGGCCACAUUGGGACUGAGACACGGCCCAAACUCCUACGGGAGGCAGCAGUAGGGAAUCUUCCACAAUGGACGAAAGUCUGAUGGAGCAACGCCGCGUGAGUGAAGAAGGGUUUCGGCUCGUAAAACUCUGUUGUUAAAGAAGAACAUAUCUGAGAGUAACUGUUCAGGUAUUGACGGUAUUUAACCAGAAAGCCACGGCUAACUACGUGCCAGCAGCCGCGGUAAUACGUAGGUGGCAAGCGUUGUCCGGAUUUAUUGGGCGUAAAGCGAGCGCAGGCGGUUUUUUAAGUCUGAUGUGAAAGCCUUCGGCUCAACCGAAGAAGUGCAUCGGAAACUGGGAAACUUGAGUGCAGAAGAGGACAGUGGAACUCCAUGUGUAGCGGUGAAAUGCGUAGAUAUAUGGAAGAACACCAGUGGCGAAGGCGGCUGUCUGGUCUGUAACUGACGCUGAGGCUCGAAAGUAUGGGUAGCAAACAGGAUUAGAUACCCUGGUAGUCCAUACCGUAAACGAUGAAUGCUAAGUGUUGGAGGGUUUCCGCCCUUCAGUGCUGCAGCUAACGCAUUAAGCAUUCCGCCUGGGGAGUACGGCCGCAAGGCUGAAACUCAAAGGAAUUGACGGGGGCCCGCACAAGCGGUGGAGCAUGUGGUUUAAUUCGAAGCUACGCGAAGAACCUUACCAGGUCUUGACAUACUAUGCAAAUCUAAGAGAUUAGACGUUCCCUUCGGGGACAUGGAUACAGGUGGUGCAUGGUUGUCGUCAGCUCGUGUCGUGAGAUGUUGGGUUAAGUCCCGCAACGAGCGCAACCCUUAUUAUCAGUUGCCAGCAUUAAGUUGGGCACUCUGGUGAGACUGCCGGUGACAAACCGGAGGAAGGUGGGGAUGACGUCAAAUCAUCAUGCCCCUUAUGACCUGGGCUACACACGUGCUACAAUGGAUGGUACAACGAGUUGCGAACUCGCGAGAGUAAGCUAAUCUCUUAAAGCCAUUCUCAGUUCGGAUUGUAGGCUGCAACUCGCCUACAUGAAGUCAGAAUCGCUAGUAAUCGCGGAUCAGCAUGCCGCGGUGAAUACGUUCCCGGGCCUUGUACACACCGCCCGUCACACCAUGAGAGUUUGUAACACCCAAAGUCGGUGGGGUAACCUUUUAGGAACCAGCCGCCUAAGGUGGGACAGAUGAUUAGGGUG
rnacentral:rRNA from 1 species